UACGGAGGGGGCUAGCGUUGCUCGGAAUUACUGGGCGUAAAGGGCGCGCAGGCGGCUGCUCAAGUCAGGCGUGAAAGGCCUGGGCUCAACCCGGGAAUUGCGCUUGAGACUGGGCUGGCUUGAGUGCGGGAGAGGAUGGUGGAAUUCCCAGUGUAGAGGUGAAAUUCGUAGAUAUUGGGAAGAACACCGGUGGCGAAGGCGGUCAUCUGGACCGCAACUGACGCUGAGGCGCGAAAGCGUGGGGAGCAAGCAGG
rnacentral:rRNA from 1 species